GACGAACGCUGGCGGCGUGCUUAACACAUGCAAGUCGAACGGAAAGGCCCUGCUUUUGUGGGGUGCUCGAGUGGCGAACGGGUGAGUAACACGUGAGUAACCUGCCCUUGACUUUGGGAUAACUUCAGGAAACUGGGGCUAAUACCGGAUAGGAGCUCCUGCUGCAUGGUGGGGGUUGGAAAGUUUCGGCGGUUGGGGAUGGACUCGCGGCUUAUCAGCUUGUUGGUGGGGUAGUGGCUUACCAAGGCUUUGACGGGUAGCCGGCCUGAGAGGGUGACCGGCCACAUUGGGACUGAGAUACGGCCCAGACUCCUACGGGAGGCAGCAGUGGGGAAUAUUGCACAAUGGGCUGAAGCCUGAUGCAGCAACUCCGCGUGCGGGAUGACGGCCUUCGGGUUGUAAACCGCUUUCGCCUGUGACGAAGCGUGAGUGACGGUAAUGGGUAAAGAAGCACCGGCUAACUACGUG
rnacentral:rRNA from 1 species